rnacentral:rRNA from 1 species
UAGGGAAUAUUGGACAAUGGGCGAAAGCCUGAUCCAGCAAUGCCGCGUGAGUGAUGAAGGCCUUAGGGUUGUAAAGCUCUUUUACCCGGGAUGAUAAUGACAGUACCGGGAGAAUAAGCUCCGGCUAACUCCGUGCCAGCAGCCGCGGUAAUA